UAACGCGUGGUAACCUGCCUGGUAGCGGGGGAUAACUAUUGGAAACGAUAGCUAAUACCGCAUGACAACAGUUAUUGCAUGAUAACUGUUUAAAAGGGGCAACUGCUCCACUACCAGAUGGACCUGCGUUGUAUUAGCUAGUUGGUGAGGUAACGGCUCACCAAGGCGACGAUACAUAGCCGACCUGAGAGGGUGAUCGGCCACACUGGGACUGAGACACGGCCCAG
rnacentral:rRNA from 1 species